AGAGUUUGAUCCUGGCUCAGAACGAACGCUGGCGGCAGGCUUAACACAUGCAAGUUGAACGGGAUUUGUGUGGUGCUUGCACCAUAUAAUGAGAGUAGCGCACUGGUGAGUAACACGUGGGAACGUACCUUUUGGUGGGGGACAACAUCUGGAAACGGAUGCUAAUACCGCAUAAGACCUGAGGGUGAAAGAUUUAUCGCCGAAAGAACGGCCCGCGGAAGAUUAGGCAGUUGGUGGGGUAAAGGCCUACCAAACCUACGAUCUAUAGCUGGUCUGAGAGGACGAUCAGCCACACUGGAACUGAGACACGGUCCAGACUCCUACGGGAGGCAGCAGUGAGGAAUAUUGGGCAAUGGAGGCAACUCUGACCCAGCCAUGCCGCGUGAGUGAAGAAGGUUUUCGGAUUGUAAAGCUCUUUCGGAUGUGACGAUGAUGACGGUAGCAUCUAAAGAAGCCCCGGCUAACUUCGUGCCAGCAGCCGCGGUAAUACGAAGGGGGCGAGCGUUGUUCGGAAUUACUGGGCGUAAAGGGUGUGUAGGCGGUUAUGUAAGAUAGCGGUGAAAUCCCGGGGCUUAACCUCGGAAUAGCCGUUAUAACUAUGUAGCUAGAGUUAUGGAGAGGAUAGCGGAAUACCCAGUGUAGAGGUGAAAUUCGUAGAUAUUGGGUAGAACACCGGUGGCGAAGGCGGCUAUCUGGCCAUAUACUGACGCUGAGGCACGAAAGCAUGGGGAUCAAACAGGAUUAGAUACCCUGGUAGUCCAUGCUGUAAACGAUGAAUGCUGGUUGUCGGCUUUAGGGUCGGUGACGAAGUUAACGCGAUAAGCAUUCCGCCUGGGGAGUACGGUCGCAAGAUUAAAACUCAAAGGAAUUGACGGGGACCCGCACAAGCGGUGGAGCAUGUGGUUUAAUUCGAUGCAACGCGAAGAACCUUACCAACUCUUGACAUCCUUAUCGGGGGGCACAGAGAUGAGCCCUUUCAGUUAGGCUGGAUAAGUGACAGAUGCUGCAUGGCUGUCGUCAGCUCGUGUCGUGAGAUGUUGGGUUAAGUCCCGCAACGAGCGCAACC
rnacentral:rRNA from 1 species